rnacentral:rRNA from 1 species
UGCGGCGGCUACACAUUGCAAGUCGAGCGGCAGCACGGGAAGCUUGCUUCCUGGUGGCGAGCGGCGGACGGGUGAGUAAUGCAUAGGAAUCUGCCCGAUAGUGGGGGAUAACCUGGGGAAACCCAGGCUAAUACCGCAUACGUCCUACGGGAGAAAGCAGGGGCUCUUCGGACCUUGCGCUAUCGGAUGAGCCUAUGUCGGAUUAGCUGGUUGGUGAGGUAAUGGCUCACCAAGGCGACGAUCCGUAGCUGGUCUGAGAGGAUGAUCAGCCACAUCGGGACUGAGACACGGCCCGAACUCCUACGGGAGGCAGCAGUGGGGAAUAUUGGACAAUGGGCGCAAGCCUGAUCCAGCCAUGCCGCGUGUGUGAAGAAGGCCUUAGGGUUGUAAAGCACUUUCAGUGGGGAAGAAAGCCUGCCGGCUAAUACCCGGGAGGAAGGACAUCACCCACAGAAGAAGCACCGGCUAACUCCGUGCCAGCAGCCGCGGUAAUACGGAGGGUGCGAGCGUUAAUCGGAAUUACUGGGCGUAAAGCGCGCGUAGGUGGCUUGAUAAGCCGGUUGUGAAAGCCCCGGGCUCAACCUGGGAACGGCAUCCGGAACUGUCAGGCUAGAGUGCAGGAGAGGAAGGUAGAAUUCCCGGUGUAGCGGUGAAAUGCGUAGAGAUCGGGAGGAAUACCAGUGGCGAAGGCGGCCUUCUGGACUGACACUGACACUGAGGUGCGAAAGCGUGGGUAGCAAACAGGAUUAGAUACCCUGGUAGUCCACGCCGUAAACGAUGUCGACUAGCCGUUGGGUCCUUCGCGGACUUUGUGGCGCAGUUAACGCGAUAAGUCGACCGCCUGGGGGAGUACGGCCGCAAGGUUAAAACUCAAAUGAAUUGACGGGGGCCCGCACAAGCGGUGGAGCAUGUGGUUUAAUUCGAUGCAACGCGAAGAACCUUACCUACCCUUGACAUCCUCGGAAUCUGCCGGAGACGGCGGAGUGCCUUCGGGAACCGAGUGACAGGUGCUGCAUGGCUGUCGUCAGCUCGUGUUGUGAAAUGUUGGGUUAAGUCCCGUAACGAGCGCAACCCUUGUCCUUAUUUGCCAGCGGGUAAUGCCGGGAACUCUAAGGAGACUGCCGGUGACAAACCGGAGGAAGGUGGGGACGACGUCAAGUCAUCAUGGCCCUUACGGGUAGGGCUACACACGUGCUACAAUGGUCGGUACAAAGGGUUGCGAGCUCGCGAGGGCAAGCUAAUCCCAGAAAGCUGAUCUCAGUCCGGAUCGGAGUCUGCAACUCGACUCCGUGAAGUCGGAAUCGCUAGUAAUCGUGAAUCAGAAUGUCACGGUGAAUACGUUCCCGGGCCUUGUACACACCGCCCGUCACACCAUGGGAGUGGACUGCACCAGAAGUGGUUAGCCUAACCUUCGGGAGGCG